rnacentral:misc_RNA from 1 species
GAUAAGAACGUAGCGAAAUGCGAUACUUGGUGUGAAUUGCAGAAUCCCGUGAACCAUCGAGUCUUUGAACGCAAGUUGCGCCCGAAGCCAUUAGGCCGAGGGCACGCCUGCCUGGGCGUCACACGUCGUUGCCCCCCCAUCUACUCCUUCGGGAUUGCGGGGGGCGGAUGAUGGCCUCCCGUGCGCCUCGCCGCGCGGUUGGCAUAAAUGCCAAGUCCUCGGCGACGCACGCCACGACAAUCGGUGGUUGCGAAACCUCGGUUGCCCGUCGUGUGCGGUCGUCGCGCAUCGAGGGCUCGAAAAAAUUGCCGGGUUCCGGCUCGGCUUUCAACGCGACCCCAGGUCAGGCGGGGUUACCCGCUGAAUUUAAGCAUAUCAAUAAGCGGAGGA